UGGGGAAUAUUGCACAAUGGGGGGAACCCUGAUGCAGCGACGCCGCGUGAGCGAAGAAGUAUUUCGGUAUGUAAAGCUCUAUCAGCAGGGAAGAAGAAAAUGACGGUACCUGACUAAGAAGCACCGGCUAAAUACGUGCCAGCAGCCGCGGUAAUACGUAUGGUGCAAGCGUUAUCCGGAUUUACUGGGUGUAAAGGGAGCGCAGGCGGCGCGCUAAGUCUGAUGUGAAAGCCCGGGGCUCAACCGCGGGACUGCAUUGGAAACUGGCGCGCUGGAGUGCCGGAGAGGUAAGCGGAAUUCCUA
rnacentral:rRNA from 1 species